GGCGAAGGCCGGUAGGUUAAAGAUCGCCGAGGCGCCUGGACGGGAUACUUCGCCUGUUAAGCGACUGGUCGUUGGUUCGAAUCCAACUUCCGCCG
rnacentral:tRNA from 1 species